AAUGCAUAGGAAUCUACCCAGUAGUGGGGGAUAACGUGGAGAAAUCCACGCUAAUACCGCAUAUGCCCUACGGGGCAAAGCAGGGGACCUUCGGGCCUUGCGCUAUUGGAUGAGCCUAUGUCGGAUUACCUUGUUGGUGAGGUAAAAGCUCACCAAGGCAACGAUCCGUAGCUGGUCUGAGAGGAUGAUCAGCCACACUGGGACUGAGACACGGCCCAG
rnacentral:rRNA from 1 species